AACUUCAGGACGGGGACAACAGUUGGAAACGACUGCUAAUACCCGAUGUGCCGAAAGGUGAAACCUAAUUGGCCUGAAGAAGAGCUUGCGUCUGAUUAGCUAGUUGGUGGGGUAAGAGCCUACCAAGGCGACGAUCAGUAGCUGGUCUGAGAGGAUGAGCAGCCACACUGGGACUGAGACACGGCCCAGACUCCUACGGGAGGCAGCAGUGGGGAAUUUUCCGCAAUGGGCGAAAGCCUGACGGAGCAACGCCGCGUGAGGGAGGAAGGUCUUUGGAUUGUAAACCUCUUUUCUCAAGGAAGAAGUUCUGACGGUACUUGAGGAAUCAGCCUCGGCUAACUCCGUGCCAGCAGCCGCGGUAAUACGGGGGAGGCAAGCGUUAUCCGGAAUUAUUGGGCGUAAAGCGUCCGCAGGUGGUCAGCCAAGUCUGCCGUCAAAUCAGGUUGCUUAACGACCUAAAGGCGGUGGAAACUGGCAGACUAGAGAGCAGUAGGGGUAGCAGGAAUUCCCAGUGUAGCGGUGAAAUGCGUAGAGAUUGGGAAGAACAUCGGUGGCGAAAGCGUGCUACUGGGCUGUAUCUGACACUCAGGGACGAAAGCUAGGGGAGCGAAAGGGAUUAGAUACCCCUGUAGUCCUAGCCGUAAACGAUGGAUACUAGGCGUGGCUUGUAUCGACCCGAGCCGUGCCGAAGCUAACGCGUUAAGUAUCCCGCCUGGGGAGUACGCACGCAAGUGUGAAACUCANNGAAUUGACGGGGGCCCGCACAAGCGGUGGAGUNUGUGGUUUAAUUCGAUGCAACGCGANNANCUUACCANACUUGACNUGUCGCGAACCCUGNGAAAGCUGGGGGUGCCUUCGGNAGC
rnacentral:rRNA from 1 species